AAUGCUAAAAGAAUGGAAAAUUAAAAAAAAACUUUUUUAAAAAUAAAAAUUGAAUUUUUUUUAAUUUGUGCAAAAACAAUUAUAUUUAUUAAAGACAAGAAGACCCUAAGAAUUUAAGAUUUUACAAUUAAAAAGUUUUUUUUUAAAAUCUUGAUUGGGGCGAUCAAAAAAUAUUAAUAACUUUUUAAAAUUUAAAUUGAUCUAUUAUUAAUAAACUAAUGAAUUAAAUACUCUAGGGAUAACAGCGUA
rnacentral:rRNA from 1 species